CACGUAGGGGCCAAGCGUUGUCCGGAUUUAUUGGGCGUAAAGAGCGUGUAGGCGGCCAUACAGGUCAGCUGUGAAAACUCGAGGCUCAACCUCGAGACGUCGGUUGAAACCGUAUGGCUAGAGUCCGGAAGAGGAGAGUGGAAUUCCCGGUGUAGCGGUGAAAUGCGCAGAUAUCGGGAAGAACACCCGUGGCGAAGGCGGCUCUCUGGGACGGUACUGACGCUGAGACGCGAAAGCGUGGGGAGCGAACAGG
rnacentral:rRNA from 1 species